rfam:Populus trichocarpa scaffold_6_contig_46, whole genome shotgun sequence.
UCUAGAACUCAACAUAUGAACUGAAAAACCGAACAGUGUCUGAGCUGCAUGACAGAUUCCGACUUCUCCGUUGUUGCUAAGAUUUGAACUUGAAAACGGUAGAAUUGAGUCUUGGACUCCCCGUGAAAGUUUUAGGUCUAUGUCUUAGCUUUCCAUC